rnacentral:tRNA from 1 species
CCCUGGCAGCUCAGCGGUAAAGGAUCCGCCUGCCAAGCGGGAGACUCAGGUUCGAUCCCUGGGUCGGGAA